rnacentral:RNase_P_RNA from 3 species
GUUAAUUGACUUCCUCCAAAAAAAUAACAAAACACCUUGUGUCACUCUACCCCAUGUCCCCUGGGAAGAUCUGAGACUAGGGCCAUAAAGCAGCUCCUAGCAGGGUCCUCCCUGAGUCUCAAAGAGGUGCGUUCCCAGAGAAUGGGGCUCCAUGCAAGGGCAGACUGGGCAGGAGAUGCCAUUGACCCCACCCUUGGGGAGGCGACUGGCGGAUGCCUCCUAAGCCAGAGCUUGGAACAUACUCAGGGCCAGCAAAGUGAGUUCAAUGGCUGAGGUAAGGUACCCCGCCUGAGGGCCUCAUAACGCAAUUCAGACUACUCUCCCCCUCCC